AUCCAGCUGACGAGUCCCGAAUAGGACGAAUCACGCGCCCCGGAU
rnacentral:hammerhead_ribozyme from 1 species